GCAGCUUUAGCUCACUUGGGAGAGCGCCAGACUGAAGUCUCACUUCGGUUUCUCGAUCUACCAAAUGACCACCAUCAAAUGGUAGCAUCAGCCCUGUGCGGUAUCUGGAGGUACUGUGUUCGAUCCACAGAAGCUGCA